rnacentral:lncRNA from 1 species
ACUGCACUCAAUAUUAACUUGUAUUUUUCAUUACAUUACAGCAAUGAUGUGAUUGACAUGCUUCUGUUUUUACUUAGAAACAUCAAGGGUAUCUUCUGAGGACGAAUCCCUUGCCUGGCACUCCCCAUGGAGAUCAUCAUCCUCCUCACCCGCCACAAGCACUGCCAACAUUGCUUUUCCAGUGGCUGCCACCACCGCUGCCACCACCGCUGCUUCACUACAAGAAUAUGCUGCAACUACUGAUUCACCAAAGGGUGCUGGGGCCGCAGCCGCCGCAGCCGCCGCAGCCGCCGCAGCCGCCGCAGCCGCCGCAGCCGCCGACGCUGCCGCCACCGCUGCGUCAACUGCUGCUGCCGCUGUGUCAGACAUGGCCACUGCCGCCACCAAAGCUGUGGCAGCAGUCGCCGCCGCUGCUACAACCGCUGUCUCGGCAGCCGCCACCGCCGCUACCUCAGCUGCCUCAGCUGCCUCAGCUGCCUCGGCAGCCGCCACCGCCGCUGCCUCGGCUCCCUCGGCUCCCUCGGCUGCCUCGGCUGCUGCCGCCACCGCUGCUUCCUGUACCCGCCACAGUGGUCCAUCACGGAUGACUGUAUGGAGAAGAAAGAAGGCAAAACAGGAGGAUGCAGAAGCCUUAAAAAAGGAGGAAGGGCGCCAACAACAGCACCCUCAACCUGAAGACCCCUCAGGGCUGGCAACCACACACCGUGGGCCUGUGGCACCGGCCCUGUAUGCCCUGAUCGUCUUUCCUGCCAUGACCUCUGCAGCCUCCACCACCAUCACUGCUUCUCCUGACACAAUCACCACUAUCACCCACCAUGCCAUCUCCAUCACCGCUGCUGCGCCUGCUGCUGCGCCUGCUGCUGCGCCUGCUGCUGCGCCUGCUGCUGCGCCUGCUGCUGCUGCUGCGCCUGCUGCUGCGCCUGCUGCUGCUGCUGCGCCUGCUGCUGCGCCUGCUGCUGCUGCUGCACCUGCUGCUGCUGCUGCUGCUGCUGCUGCUGCUGCUGCUGCUGCUGCUGCUGCUCCUGCUGCUGCUGCUGCUGCUGCUGCUGCUGCUGCUGCUGCUGCUGCUGCUGCUGCUGCACCUGCUGCUGCUGCUGCUGCUGCUGCUGCUGCUGCUGCUGCUGCUGCUGCUGCUGCUGCUGCUGCUGCUCCUGCUGCCGCCGCCGCCGCCGUUCCUCGCUCCACAGCCUGGCAGAGGAGGAUUAGAGAGGAGGAGCUGCGUCGUCAGCGAGAAAGGGGUCUCCCUCUUAAAGAGAGGAAGAUCUUUACACACUUCCGCUGUGGCCGCUGUGGUCAGCCCAAGACCAAACAGUAUGGCCACAGCCGUUACAGGGGAGAGUUCUUCUGUGCCACAUCGGAGGGUCGCUCUGUGGAUGACUGGUUGAAAGAGAAGAGUCGACUGGACCCGAAAUACCAGCAGCCGCGCAGGUGAAGGACAAUACACAACAAUGCACGUGACUCCUUUUAAUCUUUUUUCUAAUUGCAGGACACACCAACUUGACGUGCAGCAUAGUGUCACUUGUAUAUAUUUUGUGUAAUUUUGCUUGUAUAUAUUUUGUGCGUAUUUUGAAGUAUUUUGUUACAAAUUUGUAAUGUACAUAGUUUAAUUUUACUGUUGACAAUGUUCUCAAGCUAAUUCAAUUGAUGUUUUUGUUACAUAAAAAAUCUUUUCAAAGGAUCAGUUCAGUGUUGACAUCUUUUCUUUGUAAUUGCAUAAUGUAUAAUUUAUAAAUCUGAUGUGAACCAGGUUAAUGAUGAGGAUCGAACAUGAUCGUAUUGAUCCAUCAUGCCACAUCUAGUGAGAGAGUAGAACAUUUGAUCAGAUCUGUGUGUCCCUCACUCGCCCAAUCACCAGCUCCCGAUCACUUCACCUUGACACUCGCCCAAUCACCAGCUCCCGAUCACUUCACCUUUAUUCCAGGGAGACGAUCGUUCAGGGUAAAAGGCUUAUCUCCUGCCGACGGCCCCAGGUGGUCUAGGCGGCUCACAAUACACAUUGUAUAUCCUAUAGGUGUGACUCUGUGGGGGGCAGGUAGGAGCCCCAUAAAGGCUGCCUGGAUGAGGCUGUUGGUCUAGUCAAGGUCUAGUCUGAGGCUGCAACAACUUUGGGGAAGUCCACAAAAAAGAAAUGCAAAACUUUGGAAGGUGAGGUCUAACUGGAUUCUUUAUCAUCUUCUUUUUGCUAUCAACUGUAUAUGUGUUCAGCCCUUCAUUAAUCAUUACAUGUUGAACUAUUAUUUACAGAACAGCACAUUUGAUAAAACACAUAGAGAGAAAGUGGAUCCAGGAGUAUACAGAAGGUUUGUAUUUUUUUACUGCACUCAAUAUUAACUUGUAUUUUUCAUUACAUUACAGCAAUGAUGUGAUUGACAUGCUUCUGUUUUUACUUAGAAACAUCAAGGGUAUCUUCUGAGGACGAAUCCCUUGCCUGGCACUCCCCAUGGAGAUCAUCAUCCUCCUCACCCGCCACAAGCACUGCCAACAUUGCUUUUCCAGAGGCUGCCACCACCGCUGCCACCACCGCCGCUGCCGCCGCUGCCGCCGCUGCCGCCGCUGCUUCACUACAAGAACAUGCUGCUUGCUUAAAAAAGGAGGAAGGGCGCCAACAACAGCGCCAAGAGGAGCCCCAAGAAGAGCUCCAAGAGGAGCCCCAAGAGGAGCCCCAAGAAGAGACCCACGAAGAGCGCCAAAGCCAAUGCCGAAAUUGUGGACUUCCCAGGACCCUGUCGAAGGGGCAUGCCUUUUACAAAGGGCAUUUCUACUGCACACACACUGCAGGGCCUGGGGCAAAGUCUGCCAAUGAGUGGCUGAAGGAGCAGGAAGAAAAGGAAGCACCAAAAAUUCCCAGGACAACUGCCUUCACCAUGAGGAAAAAGUGGGAGAAUGAGCACAGUUUCAAACCUCCAGAAAACAGAAGGAAGCCGAAUAAACUUAGAAUCUGCCAGCUGUGUGGCCUGCCA